UGUGUAGGCGGUUUGGUAAGUCUGGUGUGAAAUCUCCCGGCUCAACUGGGAGGGUGCGCCGGAAACUGCCGGACUCGAGUGCGGGAGAGGAGAGUGGAAUUCCUGGUGUAGCGGUGAAAUGCGUAGAUAUCAGGAGGAACACCGGCGGUGUAGGCGGCUCUCUGGACCGUAACUGACGCUGAGACACGAAAGCGUGGGUAGCAAACAGGAUUAGAUACCCUGGUAGUCCACGCCCUAAACGAUGCAUAUUUGGUGUGGGUCAUUCAGUUGAUCCGUGCCGGAGCUAACGCGUUAAAUAUGCCGCCUGGGGAGUACAGUCGCAAGGCUGAA
rnacentral:rRNA from 1 species